rnacentral:piRNA from 1 species
UGGUACGUGUGUGUCACAGCUCAAGC